UCGUGCCGGGUCUCGUGACGACUCGCGCGCCGGGUAUCGCGUGCUAUGUCUCGUGCCGAUGGUCGCGCCCCGUCGCGCGGCUGGAUCUCGCGCACUGUCGCGCAGCGGGCCUCGCGCGCGGUGCUGGCGGUAAUGGUGGCGGCCGCCAGGGGGCGCGGUGCCCUCGCCACCCCACCGCGGCUCCCCGCGGGGUCUCGGGGCGGUGAGGGGCUCCCGGCACGGCAGUGGUCACGUCCCGCGCGUCAUGACCUGCCACGCCCCGACGGUGCAGCGCAGCCCACGCAGCCCCAGAGCCGGAUUGCUGAAGAGCAGAAAUGAGAACCCGGGUGGUAAUUGCCUGUUUGACGUCUGAAGCACAGCUGAAAGGCAAGACUGGAGUGCCCCUCAGAAAUUCGUCUUGUAUGUGUGCAGGGUCUGCACUCAAACUCUCAUGACAAAUGAGUUUCUAACUUCAGCCCCUCCAACAAGGAGGAUACCACGACCCCCUGGGUUCUACUGUGUAAUUAUACCUGCGUGGUAUAGCUGGAAAGCCUCUUACUCUGUCUUCUGUACUGAGAAUUGUGUUCAAGAUAAUAUGUGCACAAAGGGUCAUGUAAAGUCUUUUAUUGUCUAAAAGCUUGACCUUUUACGUCUUGGAAACCUGUUAUCAUCUCUCAUCUCUUCUUUCUCUGACUAAACAAACAAUUACUUUAGCCUUUCCUCUUCAUUAAUGUUUUCUGAACCCUUUCACUGUUACUGCCCCUCUCUGUAUUCACUCGCAUCCAGCUCCAGGUUCCACAGUGUGCCACACCAAAGUGAAUGGAAGUACCACAGAGUUGCCAACGUGACAUACAGUGAUCACGUCUACUCUGAGUGCCUGCAGCAUGCACUUAUGAAAUCAUUGAGAGCAUUUCUACAUUUAUUAUAGCAUAGGGGUUUUUUUCAGGCUGGCAUGCUUACAGCAACGUUUUAUACUGGAGGAAAAAUAGCUGAGCUUUUAUCCCUAGAUAAAGCCUCUUCCUCAAUCACCUUAUUUCAAGUAACUACCUAAUAAAAUUAAAGUGAUUCUGUAUCCUUCA
rnacentral:lncRNA from 1 species